rnacentral:rRNA from 1 species
CCUACGGGUGGCAGCAGUGAGGAAUAUUGGUCAAUGGGCGCGAGCCUGAACCAGCCAAGUAGCGUGAAUGAUGACUUCCCUACGGGUUUUAAACUUCUUUUAUCAGGGGCUAAAUUGAUGCACGUGAGCCUUUUUGUAUUUACUUUAUGACUAAGGAUCGUCGAACUCCGUGCCAGCAGCCGCGGUAAUACGGAGAGUCCGAGCGUUCUCCGGGUUUAGUGGGUUUAAAGGGAACGUAGAUGGAGUGUUAAGUCAGUUGUGAAAGUUUGCGGCUCAACCGUAAAAUUGCAAUUGAUACUGGCAGUCUUGAGUACAGUGGAGGUAGGCGGAAUUCGUGGUGUAGCGGGGAAAUGCUUAG